CUAAAGCACUGCUGGCCGCCGAUUCUACGCCGCCCGGUCGCCAGGGAGAGUGAAUACAGCUAGGGACGUGAAAGGGACUUCCCCUUCAAGCUUGCAAGAGUUGGAGAUGUUUGCAUUGUCUUCACAUUAUUGAUUUCUAGUCUGACUCCAUUAUGAUCCGAGAACACACUCCGUGUAAUCUGAUUUUUAAAAUUUGUUGAAGUUUGUUUCAUGGCCUAGGAGAUGGUCUAUCUUACUUUAUGUUCCAUGAGCCCUUGAAGAGAAUGCAUAUGCUGCUGCUGUUGAUUAAAUUACUCUACAAAUGUCAACCAGAUCCUGUUGAUGAAUGAUGGUGUUGAACUGUUGUCUUU
rnacentral:lncRNA from 1 species